rnacentral:rRNA from 1 species
ACUCCUACGGGAGGCAGCAGUGGGGAAUAUUGCACAAUGGGCGCAAGCCUGAUGCAGCCAUGCCGCGUGUAUGAAGAAGGCCUUCGGGUUGUAAAGUACUUUCAGCGGGGAGGAAGGCGAUAAGGUUAAUAACCUUGUCGAUUGACGUUACCCGCAGAAGAAGCACCGGCUAACUCCGUGCCAGCAGCCGCGGUAAUACGGAGGGUGCAAGCGUUAAUCGGAAUUACUGGGCGUAAAGCGCACGCAGGCGGUCUGUCAAGUCGGAUGUGAAAUCCCCGGGCUCAACCUGGGAACUGCAUUCGAAACUGGCAGGCUAGAGUCUUGUAGAGGGGGGUAGAAUUCCAGGUGUAGCGGUGAAAUGCGUAGAGAUCUGGAGGAAUACCGGUGGCGAAGGCGGCCCCCUGGACAAAGACUGACGCUCAGGUGCGAAAGCGUGGGGAGCAAACAGGAUUAGAUACCCCAGUAGUCCCA